GGGUCACCGGCGCACACACGUCUGUAAUGAAUGCUGCACAGAAGGGGCCAGAGCCCGCCCGGUGAGGCAGAGCGACUGCAGGGCGCGUGCAGACGGAGCACCUUUUAAACUCUGGCUGUUCUUGCCUCUGUCUCGCUCAGCGUUGCUGGGAGACGCGCUUUGCUCUGAAACCUUGGCAGUCUUUUUGACACAGGGUCUCACUGUGCAUUUCACGCUGACCUUGAACUCACUUUGGAGCCCAGGCUGAUGGCCAACUUGCAAGGAUCCUCCUGCCUCAGCCUCCCGAGUGCUGGGAUGACAGGCGUGCACCACCAUGCCUGGAUUCACUGGUACAGUUAUAACAAGACAAAUGUGUGUGGGGGAGGGCAGGAUAAUGACAUGAUGAUGGGCAAGGGAAUUGAAGUCUGUGUCAAAGAGAUGCCCAUGCUUCCCUGAUCCUCACAGCCUGCUUCAUAACGGCCAAGAUGCAGAAUUCACCAUGUGACCAUGGAUGACGGGAGGGCGGUGUCUGUACAUCAUGGAGUACUGCUCAGUCUGAGAAGGAAGGAUAUCCUGUCAUCUUGAUGGAGAUUAAUCCAGAGGACCUUACAUUAGAUAAAAUAAGUCAGGCAUCGAAAGAUAAGCACUGAUCUCAGCUGCUGUCUAAACAUGUCCCAGUCUUUGAGAGUGAAACAGUUACUACGUAGCGUAGAGCGUAGCUGUGUCCCUGAGCCACUUGCCAGCCCUAAAAUAACGGUUUGUUAGUGGUUGUUGAGCAUAAAGCCUUCAGAUGCAGACCCCACAGAUAGAUAGGCUGACUGUAUACAAUUUCUGUGGAUCAAUUAAAAUAAUGUGAGGACCUGAAUCUGUAACAGGCCGUGAAAUCAGACCUGCAAGCUUAAACAUUGUAUCAUUUCUCCUACAGGAAAAACCAUAGUACAAAUAAAUGGAAGAUUCAAAUGAAA